UACGUAGGGUGCAAGCGUUGUCCGGAAUCAUUGGGCGUAAAGGGCGCGUAGGCGGCACUGUUAGUCAGGCGUGAAAGUCCUGGGCUCAACCUGGGAACUGCGCUUGAUACGGCAGAGCUAGAGGAUGGAAGAGGGUCGCGGAAUUCCCAGUGUAGAGGUGAAAUUCGUAGAUAUUGGGAAGAACACCGGGUGGCGAAGGCGGCGACCUGGUCCAUUACUGACGCUGAGGCGCGACAGCGUGGGGAGCAAACAGG
rnacentral:rRNA from 1 species